rnacentral:lncRNA from 1 species
UUGCAGUUUCUGAGUUCGAGUGGGAGUGAGUUCCAGAGGGUGGGGGCGGCGACUGAGAAGGCUCUGUCCCCCCAGGUUCGGUGCUUGGUCAGGGGAACUGUGAGGAGGUUGGCAUUGGCGGAGCGGAGGGUGCGGGAGGGGAUGUAGGGGUGGAGAAGAUUUUUGUUUGAGAGAUUUUGUACUGAAUGCGAUGGGGGAUGGGGAGCCAGUGAAGGUUUUGGAGGACGGGGGUGAUGUGUUGGUGGGAGCGUGUGUGGGUGAGGAGGCGGGCGGCAGAGUUCUGGAUAAUCUGAAGUUUAUUGAGGAGAGUGGAGGUGGUGCCAUAGAGGAGACUGUUACAGUAAUCUAGACGAGAUGAAAUGAAUGCAAGUAUAAGGGUUUCAGCUGCAGGGUAGGAGAGGGAGGGGUGGAGGCGGGCGAUGUUUUUGAGGUGGAAGUAGGCUGUUUUAGUGAUUUGUUUAAUGUGGUGGGUGAAGGAGAGGUUGCUGUCGAAGAGAAUGCCAAGGUUGCGACAGUGGGAGGAGGGGGAGAGGGUGGAGUUGUCGAUGGAGAGAUGAAAGUCUGUGACUGUGGAGGUGAGGGAGUUUGGGCCGAUGAUGAGGAGAUCUGUUUUGUCAUAGUUGAGCUUGAGAAGAUUGCUGUCCAUCCAGUGUUUGAUGUCAGAGAGGCAGUUUGAGAGGGAGCGUUGGGUCUGGGGGGUGAUGGAGUUGGAAAAGAUAUAUAAUUGAAUGUCAUCAGCGUAGCAGUGGAAGUGGAGGUUGUGUUGACGGAGGAUGUGGCCAAGAGGGAGGAGGUAGAUGAUGAAGAGGAGGGGACCAAGCACCGAGCCCUGGGGGACACCUUGGGACACGGGGGCGGUUGUGGAGGAGCAGUUGUUAAUAUGGAUGAAGUGAACCACACCAAAACCCUCUGUGAUUGUAUGAGAGAGUGUGAAGGACGCCCUCCGCAGCGCUUACAGUGAUACUUGUUGAGGAGCUGCCUUCUGUCGCUAUCGUGUGGUAUUGCUGUCUUCAGACAUCUCUUGAUCUCUUUGACUACUUCAUGAAAAUUGUAAUAAGCCUUGCCGGUGGCGGAUUUAAAGGCAAGGAGAGGAGCUUAAAUGAUUGGUGAAAACAGGUCUCGGCUGUGUUAAACCCACUCCACGCCCUCUCUUCUCCCUCCCUACGACUUACGCCGCUGGGAGGAGCUGAGUUAGGGAGGGGGAACACUUAGGCCAGGCUGUGCCUCUCACCAAAAUACUGCCUUGUCAGUGCGGUGAACCUGACUUAUGCUGCGCCUGCGCCACGUCACCGGUGAAGCGCGAAAAUAGAGCCCUUAGUCAUUAAUAUUUCAUUUAAAGGUCUCAUGAGGUGUUUAAUGGCUUUCAUAAAACAGACUAAAACUCUUAUUGAUGACUUUUUAUAUAUCCAAAAGCAAACAAGACUGUCCAGGCCAAGACUGACAAAAUGUGUAUCCUCACUUUCAGUGCUUGAAAUGAGUAUGAGGGGGUGAUAGAGCCCUGUCUUUACUAUUUUCUCACAAAAUACUCACAACCAAUGACACAUCUGACUGUCAAAAGAGAUGUUUGUCAGAGGACACCAUGUAUGCAUGCUGGGGACCCGAUACGCAAAGACCGCACCAACAUUGACACAAACAAGCUUUAAAUAAUGUCUUUACACAGAAAAAUCACACCAUGUUUGCUUGGAGUCAAAUUUAUUUAUCAUUCAUUGUAAAUAUCUCUUUGCAAAAAUAAAAAGAACUGUGUUCUUAGCUGUGUAGCAAUCAAGACAACCCUGGGUGUGAAACCCACACAUUCCUCACAGGAAAAGUUUCCUUAUCUGGUCCCAGGACACAGGAUAUAAAUCUUUCCAGACUUGUUUACACUUUCAGGUGCCUAAGUGACCCAACCGGAGGUUGACUAAACCUCUGACUCUUCACGAUUGGUCGAUUUGGAGAACAGAGACAGAGUUUUUAUUACCUUUCAAACUGACUCCAUCGCUGACCAUCUAAAUAAACAUUAACCUCAACCCAGAUCUCCCAUUUGAGAUUUAGCGUCUUAAAGUGUGUGAACAUACGGACCCCAGGAAAAGGGGGGACACUGACCUCCAGACCUCGGUCGUAAAACCCUGCUCGACCAUACACUGAUAAAGACUGCAUUCCUUUGGUGAAAGAAUACAAAUGACUGAUCCUGACAUCUUAUGCAUUCAGCAAUGUACUAAUCUGUCUAAUCAUGAAAUUUGUGUUAAAAUGAGAUGUUUCCCGUUUUUCUAUGUGCUCCAGAAGCGGAGUUACAGAAUAAAUCCUUUAUUCUUUAGUUUCUUUAGACCAACAGCUUUUCAGACUGUUUCAUGAACUUUUAAGAGUUAAAUUCAUCGACUAUGAAUCAUAACUUAACUCUAGGUAACAGAAACAGUUUAGAAAUGUUUGGUUUAUAUUGUAGUUGUUUAUUUAGUAUUUUUAACCAUUAGGUGGUUAUAAUGUCAUUGAAUAAUCUGAAUGUGAGUAUUGAGAAUCCAUUAUUAAUCAUGAUGAAGUUCAUUCACGUGUUUACUCUUUUGUUGUUCACAGUUUCUAUGUGUUACUAUCUGUUUCAUUUCAGAGUAAUUUAGCAUGUUCAAUGUGAUACUUAAAACAUAAUGAGAAUGUUUGAUGUGAUCCUGCACUUCAUUCAUAUGUGUUUAGUAUCAAAUUAUUUAUCAUGAAACCAAGCAUUCAAUGAUAUUAAUCAUAGUGAGUGAGUAUCAGAUCUGACUCUUUUACCAGCCAAAAGAAUAAGUUACAUCAAAUAAUCAGAGAUUCCACGACCCCUCCUUUCUCCUCACACACACACCCCGGAAACACUCCCAGUGUGAGAAGAUAAAACCAGUGAAGUGGGGUUGCUCACUCUCUUCUGCUGACUCUCUUGUCCCCGGCUCUUAUGCCCCUUCUCUUCUGCCCACACCCUUCUGUGGUGCGUUUCUUUAUUUUCUCUUAGAACUUUUUCUUAGUCUUCCAAGUUUUACGCCACGUGUUGAUUCACGUUGAUUUUUCUUUAACAUCGUCUUAGUUCAAGUUUUGAAACUUCAACUUUUUGUGGACAUAGCAAUUCAAGAUUAAGCCUUUGAUUGAUUUUUCUUUAAUUUCGCGAAGCCAUUUUUGAAAGUUUUCUCUGCUCGAGUCUCGUUUUUCUGAGUUAUCUGCGUGAUUUUCAAAGUCACCUCUGAACGCAACCCAGCAGGCCCAGGUCAUCCUCUGUGCCAGAGUUUUUGAGUGAGACCAAAGAAGUACCCAAACGAGCAUCCACAGGAUCCACAGGCGCUGGCUUUGCUUCGGGCCCGAGUGCUGCAACUCCUGGCUCAUCCUUCGGCUGACUUCAGUCGUCCUCUGAGCUGAACCGCUCGAACCGCCAGUAGCCCCGGACCUUCGGAACCUGCUCCAUCUUCUCCAAGGACCAGUCUCACUUAAGUAUGCAAACCUCCAGAGCUCCAAAGAGGGCUGGUGCUGUCUCCUGCGUUCAUAGCUCAGAUAUCCUCUUAUUCUGGUAAUCUUAGAUUCCUCCAAAUCCACAUCCGAGUUUAUCUCGACACCAAAGUUAGUGUAGGUUAAUAUGUUAGCGCAUAUUCACUCACUAUCAUUAACUUUAGUGCUCCUAGCCUGACUCAGAAUCUUUAUUUAUUCACCUAUUAUUAUUUUAUCCUCAUUAUCUUAUCAUCAUUCAUUGCGUGUAUGUUGUACCAUCAUUUAUCCUGUAAUAAACAGAUCAUUAUUUUUCUAAGUUCCUGUCUGUUAGUGUUCUUCCAGAAGUGGAGUCCCUGAAAUUAGAAUUUCGACUUAAGAUAUGAGACUGAUUAAUUAAAACUGACUUGAUGUUUGAUUUCUGAAUUGAACUUUUGUUUUCUUUAUUUUCCCACCAUAAAGGGUGGUUGGUGCUCCUUUCAACGAGUGCAUAAAUGUCAUAAUUUGAGAUUAUUAAUCUUCAGACAUUUAUUAUAAAUUCCAAUCGCUACAGUAUUAUUGUGGUGCGGCCUUGUGAGGCUCAUUUCAAAUCGCUACAUAUAUUUUGGUGUGACCGUGUGAGGCUCAUUUAAAUCACUACAGCUGCUUGGCUAACACCCACCCUCCAACACUGGUUUCAGGCAUUGAAAAAUUACAGCAUAAAAAUUGCCAGCCUUGUUGCUGAUCGACAAGUUUACUUUUAUAGAUCAUAAAAAGGCAUAAAUAUUCAUUUCAGUCUGUUUCAUCGACAUUAAAAAAAACUCCUCGCAGAAGCUUUAAAGUUAUCAUUCUUUGAGUUUAAAACAUCAGGUUGCGCCCCAGAAUGGCUGCAACGAUGAGAGCUCCGCUCUGACUCGGUCGGUCUUUCCUUUCUACUCUGUUUGUUUCUUUACUUUUCUCUAUGCACGGCUACGGUACGCCUGCGACACACUCCUGACGCUGUGGUCAGUCGCUGGGAAUAACUUUACAUCCACUUUUGAGGACUGCGUGGCAGACAUUCUCCCUCAGGUCCUCUUUUCUAUCACAGGCCGGCGGAGGAAAACACAGCGAGGGAAACCUGCCGGUAUCCUAUGUUGGACUAGAAACAGACAAAACAAGCCUCCUCUGCCCACUAUCCUGUUGGCUAACAUCCAGUCCUUGAGGAAUAAACUGGAUGAUCUGUGUGCAGGGAUCAAUCACGAACCAUACAUGAGGAACUGUUGUGUCCUUGCAUUUGCAGAGACGUGGCUUGACUGUGCGGUGACUCUGGACAACAAUACCAUCUACGGGCAUGACAGAACAAAGAACUCAGGCAAGUCUUGUGGAGGGGAAGUGUCUUUUAUGGUGAACAAUUUGGGGCAACGGAUGCACGGAUUUUAAGAACAUACUGCACACCAGUCCUAGCACUGCUCACUAUCAAAGUGUGCCCCUUUUACCUGCCCAGAAAAUUAAGCACUGUGAUCCUUACUGCAGUCUGCAUCCUGCCCCAGGUUUCUAUGACCCAGGCCCUGGGCGAGUUGUAUGGAAUUAUUACGGACUAGAAAACUCACAUCUGGACUCUGCCUUCAUUGUUGUUAGGGACUUUCACAGAGCCAACAUGAAAGCAGUUCUGCUCAAAUACUAUCAACAUAUUUCUGCCCCCAACAGGGGAGAGCAUAUGCUCGAGCACUGUUACACCCCAUUCAAGAACUGUUACAAACCCCUCCUCCACCCUGCCUUUGACAAAGCAGACCACAGUGCCAUUCUACUGUUGCCUGCAUACAAACAAAGGCUCAAACAGGAAAAAACUGUUUCCAAGGUCAUUUACAAAUGGGACAAUGUAGCUGAUGAGGCCCUACAGGACUGUUUUGAAACCCCUGACUGGCAGAUGUUUGAAGACUCAGCGGGAGGAGACAUCAAUGAGUAUACAGACUUUGUCAUAGGCUACAUAGGGAAGUGCAUUGAGGAUGUUGUGCCAAAAACCUCCAUCUGCACUUACCCCAAC